rnacentral:rRNA from 1 species
AUUGAACGCUGGCGGCAUGCUUUACACAUGCAAGUCGAACGGCAGCGCGGGGCAACCUGGCGGCGAGUGGCGAACGGGUGAGUAAUACAUCGGAACGUACCCAGAAGUGGGGGAUAACGUAGCGAAAGUUACGCUAAUACCGCAUACGUUCUACGGAAGAAAGUGGGGGACCUUCGUGCCUCAUGCUUUUGGAGCGGCCGAUGUCUGAUUAGCUAGUUGGUGAGGUAAAGGCUCACCAAGGCGACGAUCAGUAGCUGGUCUGAGAGGACGACCAGCCACACUGGGACUGAGACACGGCCCAGAUUCCUACGGGAGGCAGCAGUGGGGAAUUUUGGACAAUGGGCGCAAGCCUGAUCCAGCAAUGCCGCGUGAGUGAAGAAGGCCUUCGGGUUGUAAAGCUCUUUUGUCAGGGAAGAAACGGCUGAGGAUAAUACCUUCGGCUAAUGACGGUACCUGAAGAAUAAGCACCGGCUAACUACGUG